rnacentral:rRNA from 1 species
GAUGAACGCUAGCUUACAGGCUUAACACAUGCAAGUCGAGGGGAAACGACAUCGAAAGCUUGCUUUUGGUGGGCGUCGACCGGCGCACGGGUGAGUAACGCGUAUCCAACCUGCCCACCACUUGGGGAUAACCUUGCGAAAGUAAGACUAAUACCCCAAUGAUAUCCCAGAAGGCAUCCGAAUGGGAUUAAAGAUUUAUCGGUGAUGGAUGGGGAUGCGUCUGAUUAGCUUGUUGGCGGGGGUAACGGCCCACCAAGGCUACGAUCAGUAGGGGUUCUGAGAGGAAGGUUCCCCCACAUUGGAACCUGAGACACGGUCC